UUUCCGUAGGUGAACCUGCGGAAGGAUCAUUAUUGUAUAACCGAGGUGCGAGGGCUUUCGCUGACCCGAAAGGUCGUGCACGCCCGAGUUCCCUCACACACAUCCAUCUCACCCCUAUGUGCACCACCGCGUGGGUCCCCCUUUGGCUUGUUCGGAGGGGGGCUUACGUUUUCACACAAACUUUGUAUGCAGUGUAGAAUGUAUUUUUUGUUUGUGCGAUAACGCAAUCAAUACAACUUUCAACAACGGAUCUCUUGGCUCUA
rnacentral:misc_RNA from 1 species